rnacentral:other from 1 species
UCUCCCCUGCGGUGUGCGUGAUCGAUGGUUUUAUUUGGGACCCAACACCAUACAUUAGGGGCUGGCUCUGACCUUCGGACGACAUGUCCCCCCUGUAGGGGAAAGUCGGAAGAGGUUACACCGGCCACCACCUGAUCAUGGCGUCGGGGUUCAACAAAUACUGUCGACACGGCAUCAGCGGGGGAGAA